rnacentral:ribozyme from 1 species
UUUUUCUUUCUUUCCCUUUUUUCUUUUUUUUUCUUCUUUUUCUAAAUGCAGAAAACUGAAAGACUAAAGAAAAAUAGUG